GGAUGACGGGAGCGUUGCGUCCUUGAUUCAGCGGCGGACGGGUGAGUAAUGCCUAGGAAUCUGCCUGGUAGUGGGGGACAACGUUUCGAAAGGAACGCUAAUACCGCAUACGUCCUACGGGAGAAAGCAGGGGACCUUCGGGCCUUGCGCUAUCAGAUGAGCCUAGGUCGGAUUAGCUAGUUGGUGGGGUAAUGGCUCACCAAGGCGACGAUCCGUAACUGGUCUGAGAGGAUGAUCAGUCACACUGGAACUGAGACACGGUCCAGACUCCUACGGGAGGCAGCAGUGGGGAAUAUUGGACAAUGGGCGAAAGCCUGAUCCAGCCAUGCCGCGUGUGUGAAGAAGGUCUUCGGAUUGUAAAGCACUUUAAGUUGGGAGGAAGGGCAGUAAGUUAAUACCUUGCUGUUUUGACGUUACCGACAGAAUAAGCACCGGCUAACUCUGUGCCAGCAGCCGCGGUAAUACAGAGGGUGCAAGCGUUAAUCGGAAUUACUGGGCGUAAAGCGCGCGUAGGUGGUUUGUUAAGUUGGAUGUGAAAGCCCCGGGCUCAACCUGGGAACUGCAUCCAAAACUGGCAAGCU
rnacentral:rRNA from 1 species